GGUAAUCUACCUUUGGAUUGGGGAUAGCCUGUGGAAACACAGGGUAAUACCGAAUACGACCGACUUUGCAUUUCGGUGCGAAGACGGGGAAAGGCCCUAAGGGGUCGUCCGGAGAUGAGCCUGCGGUCCAUUAGCUAGUUGGUAGGGUAAGAGCCUACCAAGGCGACGAUGGAUAGCCGGCCUGGGAGGGUGAUCGGCCACACUGGGACUGAGACACGGCCCAUACUCCUACGGGAGGCAGCAGCUAAGAAUCUUCCGCAAUGGGCGAAAGCCUGACGGAGCGACGCCGCGUGAACGAUGAAGGCCGUGAGGUUGUAAAGUUCUUUUCCUGGGGGAGAAUAAUGUUCGGAGGGAAUGCCGGACAGAUGACGUGAACCAGGGAAUAAGCCCCGGCUAAUUACGUGCCAGCAGCCGCGGUAACACGUAAGGGGCAAGCGUUGUUCGGAUUUAUUGGGCGUAAAGGGCGUGUAGGCGGUAGUACAAGUCUGGUGUGAAAACCUCCGGCUCAACCGGAGAGAUGCGCUGGAAACUGUGCUACUUGAGUUUAGGAGGGGGAGCUGGAAUUCCUGGUGUAGGGGUGAAAUCUGUAGAGAUCAGGAAGAACACCGGAGGCGAAGGCGAGCUCCUGGCCAUAGACUGACGCUGAGGCGCGAAAGCGUGGGGAGCGAACAGGAUUAGAUACCCUGGUAGUCCACGCUGUAAACGAUGUGCACUAGGUGUUGGGGAUGAUGAUCCUCGGUGCCGCAGCUAACGCGUUAAGUGCACCGCCUGGGGAGUAUGCUCGCAAGGGUGAAACUCAAAGGAAUUGACGGGGGCCCGCACAAGCGGUGGAGCAUGUGGUUUAAUUCGAUAUACGCGAGAAACCUUACCAGGGCUUGACAUAAGUAUGACGGUUGUAGAGAUACAGCUUCUCUUCGGAGCGUACUUACAGGUGCUGCAUGGCUGUCGUCAGCUCGUGCUGUGAAGUGUUGGGUUAAGUCCCGCAACGAGCGCAACCCCUUCUGUCUGUUGCCAACAGGUUAUGCUGGGGACUCAGACGGUACUGCCGGUGACAAACCGGAGGAAGGUGGGGACGACGUCAAGUCAUCAUGGCCCUUAUGUCCUGGGCUACACACGUGCUACAAUGGCCGGUACAGAGCGAUGCGAAACCGCGAGGUGGAGCAAAUCGCAGAAAGCCGGCCCCAGUUCGGAUUGGAGUCUGAAACCCGACUUCAUGAAGGUGGAAUCGCUAGUAAUCGCGCAUCAGCAUGGCGCGGUGAAUAUGUUCCCGGGCCUUGUACACACCGCCCGUCACACCACCCGAGUUGGGGGUACCCGAAGUCGCUCGUCUAACCAGCAAUGGGGGACGGUGCCGAAGGUAUGCCUGGUAAGGGGGGUGAAGUCGGAGCAAGGUU
rnacentral:rRNA from 1 species